rnacentral:rRNA from 1 species
CCUACGGGCGGCAGCAGUCGAGAAUCAUUCACAAUGGGGGAAACCCUGAUGGUGCGACGCCGCGUGGGGGAAUGAAGGUCUUCGGAUUGUAAACCCCUGUCAUGUGGGAGCAAAUUAAAAAGAUAGUACCACAAGAGGAAGAGACGGCUAACUCUGUGCCAGCAGCCGCGGUAAUACAGAGGUCUCAAGCGUUGUUCGGAAUCACUGGGCGUAAAGCGUGCGUAGGCUGUUUCGUAAGUCGUGUGUGAAAGGCGCGGGCUCAACCCGCGGACGGCACAUGAUACUGCGAGACUAGAGUAAGGGAGGGGGAACCGGAAUGCUCGGUGUAGCAGUGAAAUGCGUAGAUAUCGAGAGGAACACUCGUGGCGAAGGCGGGUUCCUGGACAUUAACUGACGCUGAGGCACGAAGGCCAGGGGAGCGAAAGGGAUUAGAUACCCGGGUAGUC